GUGGAGGCUAUGCUGGGCUAGAGGCAGAGUGGAAACCAGAUCUUCUUCCAGAGGAAGAGCAGCACAUAAAAGCAGCCAAGGGGGUAAGAGGUUGCAUGAUAUGCCAGAAAUCUAUAUGACAUUUAGAUACUUAACUGGUAAAGCGAGGUGGAGGCUUUCAAAGACACAGCUUAGCUUUGAAGGGAUUUUGCAGAGCACCUUGGCAUAUGAGGUGCCUAAAUUCCCAUUGAACCUCAUCUUGGGGCAUUAAGCAUCUGACAACCCCUUUCUUUUGUAAAUACACCCUCCAAAGGUUCCAAAUGUAUCCCCUAUUUUAUUUUCUCUAGGUUUAUGUGAUUUUUUCCUGCAUGCACCUACCACAUUUAUCUCGGUCUGAGGCAGCUAGGUGUGCCUUGCCUGUUGCAAGGCCAGUGGUGUGAGCAACACGAACGCUAAAGAAAAUGAAUUCAUUACCAGCAACUGACAGAGAAAAAUGCCAGUCUGCUGGAUGGCACUGGUGGUAGCUUUUAUUUGCUUUCCAAACAUAUUUGCACAAAAGCGCUUUGCCAAGAAAGACAGUAAAAAGGCAAAAGAGAGAGAGAGUGUUAAAUAUAGAAUGUAUUUCUGCAUUGUGCUAAUAGCAUCAUGAGGACGUGGGCCAUCCAGGCAACAGCACCAGUCCGUGACGAUCUCUGAGCUGAAGCAUGUGAUACGGACAGCACGGUCUUAAAGCAGUGGCUACAGCAAAAGGCCAAGACUGAUACUUUGGACCGAGAGAAAGCAGAACUUCACCUUACUGCCCUUGACCCAGCUUGCUUUGAGAGAAUGAAACCCAGAGCACCUCAGACACAUUUACAGAGGACCUCGAGACACAUUUACCUCGCCCUGCUGUUUCCCCAAACCCAGAUCAAAGAUACAAAAGCGGGAUGCUGCUGCUUCAUCAGAGCUCUCCCAACCACCAGGCAGCGUUUCACCAAAAGAAGUUCAAUGCUCUGCUGUGUUAUUAGGAAGAAAAUACACAGUACAGUGGAAGAUGGUUCCAUUUGUAUUUCUCCAGAAGCCAUACCAGUCAUUUUUGAACAUCCUACUGUUUUUACAACGCAAAAUUCUACUUACAGGCUUCCAAAGAAGCUGAACAGAGGAUAUUCUCUUGCAGAAAAACAGCUUCUGCCCAGCACAACAGAUCUCUCCAGCUGCAAAAGGUGA
rnacentral:lncRNA from 1 species